rnacentral:rRNA from 1 species
GACGAAGGGUCCAAGCGUUAUUCGGAAUUACUGGGCUUAAAGGGUUCGUAGGCGGCCUUGUAAGUGAGAUGUGAAAUCCCACGGCUCAACCGUGGAAGUGCAUUUCAUACUACAAGGCUUGAGGGAGACAGAGGUAAGCGGAACUGAUGGUGGAGCGGUGAAAUGCGUUGAUAUCAUCAGGAACACCGGUGGCGAAAGCGGCUUACUGGGUCUCUUCUGACGCUGAGGAACGAAAGCCAGGGGAGCGAACGGG